rnacentral:rRNA from 1 species
UACGUAGGGGGCAAGCGUUGUCCGGAUUUAUUGGGCGUAAAGAGCGUGUAGGCGGUCAGGUAGGUCCGUUGUGAAAACUCGAGGCUCAACCUCGAGACGCCGAUGGAAACCAUCUGACUAGAGUCCGGAAGAGGAGAGUGGAAUUCCUGGUGUAGCGGUGAAAUGCGCAGAAUAUCAGGAAGAACACCCGUGGCUAAGGCGGCUCUCUAGUACGGUACUGACGCUGAGACGCGAAAGCGUGGGGAGCGAACAGG